GAAAUCCAACAUCCCGUCAUCUGAGA
rnacentral:piRNA from 1 species